UACGUAGGGGGCGAGCGUUACCCGGAAUCACUGGGCGUAAAGGGCGCGUAGGCGGCCUGGUAAGUCAGGGGUGAAAUCCCACGGCUCAACCGUGGAAUUGCCUUUGAAACUGCUGGGCUUGGAUCCUGGAGAGGGUGGCGGAAUUCCUGGUGUAGGAGUGAAAUCCGUAGAUAUCAGGAGGAACACCGGUGGCGAAGGCGGCCACCUGGACAGGUAUCGACGCUGAGGCGCGAAAGUGUGGGGAGCAAACAGG
rnacentral:rRNA from 1 species